rnacentral:rRNA from 1 species
UACAGAGGUCUCAAGCGUUUGUUCGGAUUCAUUGGGCGUAAAGGGCGCGUAGGCUGCGGGGCAAGUCGGGUGUGAAAUCUCAGAGCUCAACUCUGAAACUGCACUCGAUACUGCUUUGCUUGAGGACUGGAGAGGAGAUUGGAAUUCACGGUGUAGCAGUGAAAUGCGUAGAUAUCGUGAGGAAGACCAGUGGCGAAGGCGGAUCUCUGGACAGUUCCUGACGCUGAGGCGCGAAGGCCCAGGGGAGCAAACGGG